UACGUAGGGGCAAGCGUUGUCCGGAAUCAUUGGCGUAAAGAGCGUGUAGGCGGCCCGGUAAGUCCGCUGUGAAAGUCCAGGGCUCAACCCUGGAAUGCCGGUGGAAACUGUCGGGCUAGAGUCCGGAAGAGGCGAGUGGAAUUCCUGGUGUAGGCGGUGAAAUGCGCAGAUAUCAAGGAGGAACACCAAUGGCGAAGGCAGCUCGCUGGGACGGUACUGACGCCUGAGACGCGAAAGCGUGGGGGAGC
rnacentral:rRNA from 1 species